UACGUAGGGACCGAGCGUUGUCCGGAAUCAUUGGGCGUAAAGAGCGUGUAGGCGGCUUGUUAAGUCUUGCGUGAAAUCUCGGGGCUCAACCCCGAGCGGUCGUGAGAAACUGGCAGGCUAGAGUGCGGGAGAGGAGAGUGGAAUUCCUGGUGUAGCGGUGAAAUGCGCAGAUAUCAGGAAGAACACCCGUGGCGAAGUCGGCUCUCUGGAACGCAACUGACGCUGAGACGCGAAAGCGUGGGGAGCAAACAGG
rnacentral:rRNA from 1 species